rnacentral:rRNA from 11 species
AGACGGAAAGACCCCGUGCACCUUUACUACAGCUUGACAGUGGUAUUAGCGAUUAUUUGUGUAGGAUAGGCGGGAGUCUAUGAAACCAGGGCGCCAGUUCUGGUGGAGACAUCCUUGAAAUACCGCCCUGAUGAUUGUUGAUAUCUAACCGCGGUCCAUGAACCUGGAUCCGGGACCCUGUCUGGUGGGUAGUUUGACUGGGGCGGUCGCCUCCUAAAUCGUAACGGAGGCGCGCGAAGGUUGGCUCAGAGCGGUCGGAAAUCGCUCGUUGAGUGCAAUGGCAUAAGCCUGCCUGACUGCGAGACUGACAGGUCGAGCAGAGACGAAAGUCGGUCAUAGUGAUCCGGUGGUCCCGAGUGGAAGGGCCAUCGCUCAACGGAUAAAAGGUACUCCGGGGAUAACAGGCUGAUACCGC